AUGACGGAUCAACCGAUAAUCAGAGCAGAUCUUGAGGAAAUUACCAUGGCUUUUAUCGCGACUCUAACUGCUUUGACUGAACAAAUGGCGAAUUUAACAAACCAGGUGAACAACAACAACAAUGUAAAUCAGCGAAGAGACAAGGGAAGAGAACAUGUUAGGGUUCCACGAGAUGGAAACAAUCAUCACCUCAUCACGCUGUUAUUGCUGACAAUUCAAGUUCUGAAGAAGAAGAACAAGACGAAGAAGAGGUCGUUGAUCAUGGAAAUCAACAUAAUCACGAUUAUCGAGUGA